AUGCAGCAACAUGCCACCAGUGAUGAUGAUGAGGGACAGAAAGAUGAGCUGGUUCCACAGGCAGAUCCAGGGCAAACUCCUUUCACUGAGAGCAGUACAUAUUCCUGGGCAUGUGAAUAUGGGAGCCAACAUCCUGUCGGGGCAGGGGCUGAGGCCCAGGGAAUGGAGGCUUCACCCCGAGGUGGUGAAGCAGAUAUGGAGAAUAUUUGGUCAGGCUCAGGUGGAUCUGUUUGCGACUCAGAUGACAUUACACUGUCCCCUUUGGUUCUCUCUGACUCAUCCGGCUCCACUGGGGCUGGAUGCCAUGGUACAGACUUGGCCGAGGCUUCGUCUGUAUGCUUUUCCCCCGAUUGCUCUGCUCCCGGGAGUUCUGGCGAGAGUACGCCAGGACGGGGUCCGUCUUCUAUUAACAGCCCUGUGCUGGCUGGGCCGAGUGUGGUUCUCGGACCUGAUUUCUCUCCUCGACGGCGCUCCAUGGGAGAUUCCCGUCAGGAGGGAUCUCCUCUCACAGGCGGAGGGCAGGGUAUUCCACCCCCGCCUGGAGCUGUGGAAGUUAUGGGUGUGGUCCCUGAGGGGGAUCAUCUUGUAGCUUCCGGUCUCUCAACCGAGGUUAAGACCAUCCUCCAAUCCAGAGCUCCCUCAACAAGGAAACUGUACGCCUUGAAGUGGAAACUUUUCACUUCUUGGUGUGGAGAUCCCCAACUCGACCCAGUUAACUGCCCAGUUGGUACAGUGCUGGAGUUAGAAGCUCUUUGUAAGCCUCCUUUCGAGAAUAUUGAAGAAGUUGGGGAUCUUCAGACCCUCUCAGUGGCCCCUUCCUACUUAGACUUUGCACCCGUCAUGGCAAAAUUAUUUCUCUACCCUCGUGCGGGGUAUACUCCUAAGGUCUCCUCUGUUACACUACAGCCUAUCGUGCAACAGGCCUUCAGUCCUCCUUCAUUCCUAGAAGCUGACGCUCAUUCCACCUCACGUGAUUUUAUAGCUUCCUGGUCGCUACAUCACCCGCCUAUGACGUCUCGCCCUUUCAUUGGACUAAUUACACAUGUUAUUCAGAGCCGGUCACGCUGAUGGCGUUCCCAUAGCGUUUUCCGAUGCAGCGUCUCGUUCAAUUCGGGGAACCAUGGUUACAUACGUAACCUGGGACGUUUUGUCUUUGCAUGUUGCAUCAUAAACCUAAAAUUGUGGUAUUCUCUGCCAGGCUUUAUUAUUCUGGAAUAGCAUUCUCAAUAUUGUUUGGGGCUCAGACACACUCUUUCUGUUUAAAUACAAAUCUCAACAAGAUUAAAUACACAUCUCCUUUGCCAAAAAUUCACAUAAUACAUCUUAUAACCUUGUACUCCAAUUAUAUCUGAUUAAAUGCACAUGAUUAUCUUUUGCUUAGUCAGCAACCAUGCUAUCACUGUAAAAAAAAAUGACGGUGAAUUUAACGGUAAAAGACUGUACAAAUGCUACAGUAAAAACCUGUUAAAUGGUUAACAGUAAAUUCCCCUGCUAUACAUGUUGAAAAACUGUAUUGGACAUUACAUGUAAUUUUAUGGAAGUAUAGCGAUUUUGGAAGAGAAAAAGACGUGAAUAACCAUAAAUUGACAUUCCCAGAAUUCCCUGCAUUACAUUUCAAAUUUAAUUUUUUUAAAUAACUUUACUUUUUCUUCGUUUUUUUUCAUAUCAGUUUUGUAUAUUGGGGUUGUAUGUUACACCUAAUGUUGUUAAAUAAAUGUUUAAUGAAUUAUUUCAGUUUCACGUGUGUUACCAUGAUAGUGUUUAGUGUUUGUAUGAAUGACUAUGUUCUAUGUAUGUUAUUAUUUAAAAGCUGCUUGUGAUGGACUUUGGUUAAUGAAAUAAGGUUAUUUAACUGUAAAUUUAAGUUAAAACCGUAAAACCUAAAAUGUCGCUACCAUAUUUUUUAUGGUAAAAUUCCGGCAACCAAAGCUGGUGUUUUUUUACCAUAUUUUAUUUAUUUUUUUUUUUUUUUUGCUUUUCUGUUUCUGUCUCAGGAUUGGAUACAGGCUUUUAUGAAGUUUUCACAUGACCCAGCACCGGAGAAGAGAUGAUGCCAACCCCUGUAAGGACCUCAGAUAAUGCAAACUAUGAAUAAAUACACAAAUGUGACAAUUUUCCCCUAUAUUGUAAUCAUUACGAUCACAACAUGCAAUCAUUGCUUUAAUGCAUUCAUUGUUUCUGCUUAAAUAAGUAUGUGGCAUUUACUAACGGCAUGAUUUGUAUAAUCUGUACAUCAUUCAUACAGAAAUAUACGAGGUGUACCUUUGACAGGAACCUACUUUGAAAUUCUUCUAAAAAUGUCUCUGAUUUACCUUUCUGCUGAUCUUUACCCAAUAAGAUGUUCUUCAUUUAAGAUAUAGAGAAAUUAUAUAAACUGAAUGCAAAUUUCAAACUAGGCACAAUGAAAAAACUGUAGUGACAUAUCUGCAAAAUUAUAUUCAAGGGAUAACAUAAGGUAACAUGAUAGGGUAACAGCAAUGAAAGGGUUACAUUAUAAGAUUGUGUGUAUGUGUGUGUGUGUGUGUGUGUGUGUGUGUGUGUGUGUGUGUGUGUGAGAGAGAGAGAGAGAGAGAGAGAGAGAGAGAGAGAGAGAGCAAUAUAUGACUUUGGUAACACUUUACAAUAAGAUUUCAUUUGUUAACAUUAACAAACUGUAUUAGUUAACAUGAACAAUAUUUAUAUAGUAUUUAUUAAUUAAUGUUAAGUUCAAAACUUCACAUUAUGUAUUAAUAUAACAUAUUAUUCUUUAUUAGUUCAGGUUAGUUGAUGCAUUAAGGAGCUGAAAAUAGACUGCGCCAUAGACCAACUCAAACCUGGUCUAAAGUCUGGCGCAAUGUUUUUUCUUUGUUAUUUAAAGAGCGUGUUAGUAUAUACGGGUCCACAACGCGUGUACUCGCUACUUAUUAAACACACAGGGAUGCACAGCAGCACACAAUGACACAAACAUGCCAAAUAUUAAAAAAUAAAGGACUGCAAUGCAUAAGAAUUUUUUGUAGGUUAAUUAAAUAUAAAAAUGCCUACAUGUCAUAAUGGAUAGUCAUCGCAUGUAUCAGAAUUAGGCUAUCUAUUUGCUCUCGCACGAGCAGCUCUGUUUCAUCUCGGAGAUGCAUUCCAUCUCUGCGCUUGCCAAAUUCCGCCGUGUAAAUAGCAAAUCCGUCAUGGCACGAGCGCAACUGGCUCUUAAAGGGAAUGGAAGAUGAGACUCUGAUUGGUUUAUUGCACGUUACGCCCAAAAAACACCCAUUACUCAUUAAGAGAAUAGGGACAACCCGUUUAGACCAUGCGCCUGGGCGCGCCAACCAUUUUUCCAUCGUUAAAAUAGCAAAAGUGGAUUUGGACACGCCCUGAGUGUACCUGCGCUGUGCGCUUUACACUUUGUGUUCAGAUCGUUAAAAUAGGGCCCUAGGUUCCUUAGUAUAGUGACAUAAUGUUGACAAAGUUUGUUGUGAAUUGCAUUAAUUGAAUUAAUUCACGGACUGAACAUUCAAACCAGAAUAGCGAACUGCCUGUUGAUCGUAACUAAUGACUGUAAAUUAGGAAGUUGUCUGGCUUGAUGAGAACAAUAUAUGCUCCAAGUUUGGUCACUGUAGUGCUAAAACUAAAGGUUAUACUAUAACAGCAUGUAACAUUAUGUUGGUGGCAAUUGGAUGAGGAGUAUCACAAUUCCAGAGCAUGCGCUUUUCACAAAACCUUGAAUAACAGACUUCCUGUUGGGCAGUGUGCUGACUGUCAGCACAAAAAUUGUUUGGGCUGAUGAGAUCUAAAUGUGUAUGAAUUUUGGUGACUGGUCAAACGGUGUGUGCUACAGAGCCCCUCAAAAAUGUCAUUAUUAAAGGCUGUGGCUCAGGCCCUGCAGGUUGUAGAUUCCAACAAAGUUUCAAGAGGUUUUGAGCAUGUUAAGGGCCCCAAAACUGGCAAAAACCUAGAAUUUUUUUUUCUUUUUUUUUUCUUAUCAUUAGAAGAACAAUAAAGUCCUGCACAACUAGUGGAUUAGGCCCUAAUUAGUUUACAAAUUGGCAAGUGUUUUGAGCUCAUAAUACAGUAUUGUGCAAUGAACUAUGUGAAUUUAAGUUUUUAAGAAUCAGUAAUCUGCCCAGGAAUUAUAAUUUGCGUGAAAAUCAAUAAAAAAUAGUUAGAGUUUUGCAAAAAUGUAGCCAGAGGCACGUUUU
ensembl:lncRNA